ensembl:lncRNA
AAAGCAUUAUUUUUAAUGUAAGAGCUGCUUUCUACUUCACUUCUGAGGAAAGUAACAGAGUAAGCAAAAACGAUGCUUCACAUUUGCAGAGACAAAAACAGAUUUGGAAUUAAGACAGCCAGUGCUUCCUGGCAUCAGUGUUGGCUUUGUCUAUAGACAGAGAGAAAACAUGCUACAAUGCCAACUCCAAUAUGAAGUUAUAAAGUUAAUUUUAUAUGUAUCUUAACUUUCCCCAAACUCAAGGGUAAAGCCCAAAUUGACUUCACUGGAGUAAGGAUGAAUAAUCAUAGAAUCUUUAAGGUUGGAAAACACCGCUAAGAUCAUCUAGUCCAACCAUCAAACUAUCACCACCAUGCUUACUAAACCACAUCCACAAUGACAUAUGAUAGUUUUCUUGAGAAAAGAGGACUGGAACAAUACCUAGACAUGGCUGUUGUAAGCACACAAUUGGGUCUGGACAAAGAUCAGCAAAAUACAUCGCUGCUUCACCACUGGCAGGAGGAUUGCUAUUCAGCAGGAUGCUCACAGCAUCUGGCUUAGUGAGAUGAUUUAGUUCUGAACUAGGAUGCACCGAACAACCCCCUGAAGGACUGUGUAUUCCUCCACUGACUACAUAAGGAGCCCAAGGAAACAAUCUUUAAAUUCUAAUAAAAAAAUCUGGAAAAUGGAAAAUUAAGCUGCACCCCACUUCUCCUUCAGAGGUUCAGCUCUUCUCUUUCUUCCUUCACUGCAGCAGGGAGACAGAAUAAUACACCCUUGUUUUUCAUGGCACAGCAAAUGCUUCUUGAGUCAGUAGCAUUUUACCAACUAGCACAUGCAAAGGAUAUGUCCAGUCUACUUCUUUCACCAAGUUUGUGGGAAAAAUAUAGCAUUUCUUCAGGAUAUCAUAUUAAAACUUGUGUAUGACCACCUGGUGCAAGGCAAUAUUACGCAGAUUACAUAAUAGAAGACGACUUUAAAAAAUGGUGCUUAGCUUUUUCUUUUAGAAAUUUGCCAGCAUUGUUGUUGAUGUGAUUUUGUUCAAUUUUUUUCAGAAUGUGAUUAAAAAUGAACAAACCUUUUACACAGAUGAUUAUUCAGCAUUUUAUGUAUAUAUUGGACAAGAAUGUAUUACAAUUUAACUCAUUUUAGAAAAUGCAGAGGUGGGCAAAUUCUUAAUUUAAUGAACAUCUCAACAUUUGAUAUUGUAAAAUACUCUUAAACAGAACAUAUACUCAAAAAGAUCUUAGGGUGACAUCACAUUUAAAUAAAGCCCAGCUAUGAGAAUAUCAUGUUUUCUUCAGAAAAAUUUUGUAUCUUAGAAAACAAUGAACAACUGUUGGAAUAUUUGGAAAUGCUCAAAAAUAUUUGUCAUAUUUUAUAUAAUCUUUUUUGAGCCUUCAGAUCCCUGAAAAUGUGUAUUCAUUGUUGCUUGAAAUUUUCACAAAUGUCUUAUUUCAUGAGUACAGUGGCCCUCAGAUAUAACCCUCAUCUUAUAAGGAAGACAGAAUCAUGAAGGAGGGUUUUACAAUCUCUAAGUAAUUUAUAGAUUUCAAUGAUAUCAGGCAUGUAAAACCCUAUAUCUGGGAUAUAGGCUAUUUAUUUGUGCUGUCAGAAAGACAUAGUUAUAUAGCUUUCUCAAGCCUAGGAUAAAUCCAAACUUCACAUGUGAUCCUAAGAUAUUAUACAUCUCCAAAACUUUUAACUUUGAUUUAUUCCUUCAAAUUUUUUUAUUUUUUUUUUAAAGAGGGAAUGAGAGAGAGCAAGAGAAUACUGAGAAGACACUUGGUGGGCAAUUAUACAGGAGGAAUCAUUUCCCUUUCAAGCUAUAAGUUGUUUUUCAUUUGACAUACAUUUUCUAGUGUUGGUUAAUGAAAACAAACAAGAAAUAUUGAAGUUAAAUUCAGCAAAAAAAUUAUUAGCCUCAUGAUAUGUUAACAACACAACUAUUUCCAUUACUUUUUCUGGUGGAUUUACUAUAUUUUGUGAACACCACUGUUAUUCUUUGUAUUAGGAAAGGAAUGUCUUAUUGCUAUUUGAGUUGUCUGGGAUAAAAGAAAGUUUGGACAAAAGCUUUUUGUUAUGCUGUAUUUUGUGAAGUGUGUACAUGUAAAACAUUGUCAAAUCUAAAACUUUGUGUAUUUUUUACAUAUUUU